rnacentral:rRNA from 4 species
UUAAGCGACUAAGCGUACACGGUGGAUGCCCUGGCAGUCAGAGGCGAUGAAGGACGUGCUAAUCUGCGAAAAGCGUCGGUAAGGUGAUAUGAACCGUUACAGCCGGCGAUGUCCGAAUGGGGAAACCCAGUGCAAUUCGUUGCACUAUCGUUAACUGAAUACAUAGGUUAACGAGGCGAACCGGGGGAACUGAAACAUCUAAGUACCCCGAGGAAAAGAAAUCAACCGAGAUUCCCCCAGUAGCGGCGAGCGAACGGGGAGCAGCCCAGAGUCUGAAUCAGCUUGUGUGUUAGUGGAACGGUCUGGAAAGUCCGACGGUACAGGGUGAUAGUCCCGUACACCAAAAUGCACAGGCUGUGAACUCGAAGAGUAGGGCGGGACACGUGGUAUCCUGUCUGAAUAUGGGGGGACCAUCCUCCAAGGCUAAAUACUCCUGACUGACCGAUAGUGAACCAGUACCGUGAGGGAAAGGCGAAAAGAACCCCGGCGAGGGGAGUGAAAAAGAACCUGAAACCGUGUACGUACAAGCAGUGGGAGCACCUUCGGGUGUGACUGCGUACCUUUUGUAUAAUGGGUCAGCGACUUAUAUUCUGUAGCAAGGUUAACCGUAUAGGGGAGCCGCAGGGAAACCGAGUCUUAACUGGGCGUUAAGUUGCAGGGUAUAGACCCGAAACCCGGUGAUCUAGCCAUGGGCAGGUUGAAGGUUGGGUAACACUAACUGGAGGACCGAACCGACUAAUGUUGAAAAAUUAGCGGAUGACUUGUGGCUGGGGGUGAAAGGCCAAUCAAACCGGGAGAUAGCUGGUUCUCCCCGAAAGCUAUUUAGGUAGCGCCUCGUGAACUCAUCUUCGGGGGUAGAGCACUGUUUCGGCUAGGGGGUCAUCCCGACUUACCAACCCGAUGCAAACUACGAAUACCGAAGAAUGUUAUCACGGGAGACACACGGCGGGUGCUAACGUCCGUCGUGAAGAGGGAAACAACCCAGACCGCCAGCUAAGGUCCCAAAGUCAUGGUUAAGUGGGAAACGAUGUGGGAAGGCACAGACAGCCAGGAUGUUGGCUUAGAAGCAGCCAUCAUUUAAAGAAAGCGUAAUAGCUCACUGGUCGAGUCGGCCUGCGCGGAAGAUGUAACGGGGCUAAACCAUGCACCGAAGCUGCGGCAGCGACACUAUGUGUUGUUGGGUAGGGGAGCGUUCUGUAAGCCUGCGAAGGUGACCUGUGAGGGUUGCUGGAGGUAUCAGAAGUGCGAAUGCUGACAUAAGUAACGAUAAAGCGGGUGAAAAGCCCGCUCGCCGGAAGACCAAGGGUUCCUGUCCAACGUUAAUCGGGGCAGGGUGAGUCGACCCCUAAGGCGAGGCCGAAAGGCGUAGUCGAUGGGAAACAGGUUAAUAUUCCUGUACUUGGUGUUACUGCGAAGGGGGGACGGAGAAGGCUAUGUUAGCCGGGCGACGGUUGUCCCGGUUUAAGCAUGUAGGCUGGUUGUCCAGGCAAAUCCGGAUAAUCAAGGCUGAGGUGUGAUGACGAGGCACUACGGUGCUGAAGUAACAAAUGCCCUGCUUCCAGGAAAAGCCUCUAAGCAUCAGGUAACAUUAAAUCGUACCCCAAACCGACACAGGUGGUCAGGUAGAGAAUACCAAGGCGCUUGAGAGAACUCGGGUGAAGGAACUAGGCAAAAUGGUGCCGUAACUUCGGGAGAAGGCACGCUGGUGUGUAGGUGAAGUCCCUGCGGAUGGAGCUGAGACCAGUCGAAGAUACCAGCUGGCUGCAACUGUUUAUUAAAAACACAGCACUGUGCAAACACGAAAGUGGACGUAUACGGUGUGACGCCUGCCCGGUGCCGGAAGGUUAAUUGAUGGGGUUAUCCGUAAGGAGAAGCUCUUGAUCGAAGCCCCGGUAAACGGCGGCCGUAACUAUAACGGUCCUAAGGUAGCGAAAUUCCUUGUCGGGUAAGUUCCGACCUGCACGAAUGGCGUAAUGAUGGCCAGGCUGUCUCCACCCGAGACUCAGUGAAAUUGAACUCGCUGUGAAGAUGCAGUGUACCCGCGGCAAGACGGAAAGACCCCGUGAACCUUUACUAUAGCUUGACACUGAACAUUGAGCCUUGAUGUGUAGGAUAGGUGGGAGGCUUUGAAGCGUGGACGCCAGUCUGCGUGGAGCCAACCUUGAAAUACCACCCUUUAAUGUUUGAUGUUCUAACGUUGGCCCCUUACCGGGGUUGCGGACAGUGUCUGGUGGGUAGUUUGACUGGGGCGGUCUCCUCCCAAAGCGUAACGGAGGAGCACGAAGGUUAGCUAAUCCUGGUCGGACAUCAGGAGGUUAGUGCAAUGGCAUAAGCUAGCUUGACUGCGAGCGUGACGGCGCGAGCAGGUGCGAAAGCAGGUCAUAGUGAUCCGGUGGUUCUGAAUGGAAGGGCCAUCGCUCAACGGAUAAAAGGUACUCCGGGGAUAACAGGCUGAUACCGCCCAAGAGUUCAUAUCGACGGCGGUGUUUGGCACCUCGAUGUCGGCUCAUCACAUCCUGGGGCUGAAGUAGGUCCCAAGGGUAUGGCUGUUCGCCAUUUAAAGUGGUACGCGAGCUGGGUUUAGAACGUCGUGAGACAGUUCGGUCCCUAUCUGCCGUGGGCGCUGGAGAAUUGAGGGGGGCUGCUCCUAGUACGAGAGGACCGGAGUGGACGCAUCACUGGUGUUCGGGUUGUCAUGCCAAUGGCACUGCCCGGUAGCUAAAUGCGGAAGAGAUAAGUGCUGAAAGCAUCUAAGCACGAAACUUGCCCCGAGAUGAGUUCUCCCUGAGACUUUAAGUCUCCUGAAGGAACGUUAAAGACGAUGACGUUGAUAGGCCGGGUGUGUAAGCGCAGCGAUGCGUUGAGCUAACCGGUACUAAUGAACCGUGAGGCUUAACCUU